CGGCAUUUCACUGUAAGGUCUACUACACCUGUUGUAUUCAGCAUUUCACUGUAAGGUCUACUACACCUGUUGUAUUCAGCAUUUCACUGUAAGGUCUACUACACCUGUUGUAUUCAGCAUUUCACUGUAAGGUCUACUACACCUGUUGUAUUCAGCAUUUCACUGUAAGGUAUACUACACCUGUUGUAUUCAGCAUUUCACUGUAAGGUCUACUACACCUGUUGUAUUCAGCAUUUCACUGUAAGGUAUACUACACCUGUUGUAUUCAGCAUUUCACUGUAAGGUAUACUACACCUGUUGUAUUCAACAUUUCACUGUAAGGUCUACUACACCUGUUGUAUUCAGCAUUUCACUGUAAGGUCUACUACAUGUGACAAAUAAACUUUGAUUUGAUUUGAGAUCAUUUUCUCCUCUUU
ensembl:lncRNA